AACAUCAGCUUUCGCUUGAGUUGUACAGGACAGACGUUCGCCCGUCAUACCAACAUUUGUGACGGUUUUGGCAUUUGUAAUCGUUGCGGGCAGUUGAGUAAAACUGCCUCGCUGUAUUUCAAUCUGUGAACAUUACAUGCGCACUGAAAUGGAUUCAGAGGGCCAAAAAAUCUCGGUCAAUCACGGAAGAGACGAGUUUAUUAUUAAAAACGGAACAGGUGUGCCAUUCCCGCCUAGUCACAAGUUGACCACGGCCGAAGUUUUCGACACACGGACGGCUAAACCGCGGCCAGACGUUCUAAAGCAGCACUUCAUACUCGAAGGUCGGAUAGACGAAGCUGCUGCCCUUCGUAUUAUCAAUGAUGGCGCUACGUUACUCCGGUCAGAGAAAACUAUGAUCGACAUUGAGGCCCCCGUCACAGUAUGUGGAGAUAUCCAUGGUCAGUUCUACGACUUGAUGAAGUUAUUUGAAGUCGGAGGCCCUCCGGCCAACACAAAAUACCUCUUCCUAGGUGACUACGUAGAUCGAGGGUAUUUUAGUAUAGAGUGUGUGUUGUACCUAUGGGCUCUGAAAUUGUGUUAUCCUACCACAUUAUUCCUAUUACGAGGAAACCAUGAAUGUAGACAUCUAACAGAAUACUUCACAUUUAAACAAGAGUGUAAAAUAAAAUAUUCAGAACGUGUGUAUGAGGCAUGCAUGGAAGCGUUUGACUGCUUGCCUCUUGCUGCCCUCAUGAACCAGCAGUUCCUCUGUGUCCACGGAGGUCUCUCACCUGAAAUUCACAACUUGGACGACAUUAGAAAGUUGGACAGAUUCAAAGAACCUCCUGCCUUUGGCCCAAUGUGUGAUCUUCUGUGGUCAGAUCCCCUAGAAGACUUCGGAAAUGAAAAGAAUGCCGAACACUUCAGCCAUAACAGUGUGAGAGGUUGCUCAUAUUUCUACAGUUAUGCUGCAUGCUGUGAUUUCCUUCAAAAUAACAACCUACUUUCCAUAAUUAGAGCGCAUGAAGCCCAAGAUGCAGGUUAUCGAAUGUACAGGAAAAGUCAAACGACAGGUUUUCCAUCACUCAUCACUAUCUUCUCAGCACCUAACUAUCUGGAUGUGUACAAUAACAAGGCAGCAGUGCUGAAGUACGAGAAUAAUGUGAUGAACAUUCGACAAUUCAACUGUUCACCACACCCAUAUUGGUUGCCCAACUUCAUGGAUGUGUUCACAUGGUCGUUGCCGUUUGUUGGUGAAAAAGUGACAGAGAUGCUGGUAAAUGUGUUAAACAUCUGUUCAGAUGACGAACUCAUGUCUGAUGGAGACGAUGCUCUGGAGGAAGGGAAACUUUUUAUACAAAAGAAGGAACUGAUGUCUGUGCAUUUUGUAGUAGAUUGUUGGUUGUUAUCUAAAUGUACUAAUAUACAGGGUACAGCCGCCAACCUGCGGAAAGAAGUCAUUCGAAACAAGAUUCGUGCUAUUGGCAAGAUGGCCCGUGUCUUCUCUGUGCUGAGAGAGGAAAGUGAGAGUGUACUUCAGCUGAAGGGAUUGACUCCAACAGGGUCCCUGCCUCUUGGAGCGUUGUCUGGUGGCAAGACAUCACUCAAAAAUGCACUGCAAGGUUUCUCACCAAAUCACAAAAUUACAUCAUUUGCUGAGGCAAAGGGACUGGACGCCAUCAACGAGAGAAUGCCUCCAAGAAAAGAUGCUCCACCAACCCCAGGCGGAGAUGACAAGAAGCCACUGGCAUCCCCAACACAACAGGGCAAUCAAACCAGUAAUUCCCACACCAACACCAACACCAACGCUCACUCAUGAGCAGUCCUCAAGUAUCAUGUCACACAAUGCACCAUGAGGUACUUGUGUAAUAGCUCAGGUGGUUAGAUGGUUCUGACUGAAGAUUCGAAUUCAGUCACCAGUAAAUCCAGGCAGACAGAAUGGCAUUUCUUUCUUGUGGACUUUGGUAUCCCGAUCAUCAUUCUGCUAAUGCUCCGUAAUUAUCUAACACCUGAGUUGUAUAGUAAUUCCAGCAUUCAAGCACAUUAUCAAAGCCUCAGUCUUCAGUUGCAGAUUCUCAUCUGACCCAGCACUUGCCACUCAAGAACAACGUUGGCAGCUUGCAUUUCAUCAGACUGUUUCAUUGAUCUUCUGGACCUAACUGAUCUCUGGAGCAUGCUGGAUCGAUACAUUUCUCCUCGGACAGAAGCUCUGAAGGAUGCCCUACCCAUCUGCACGUUGCUUCUUUGGAAGUUACUGCUCAUCUCUGCUGAGUCCUCUUUAUCCAGAGUCCUGCAUGAAAACAGAUUUGGUUUGUACACAUAUGAUGUAAAAGUCAAAAGUUAAAUGUCAUUUAUUCAGUAGACCCGCCUCAUUCAUGGGUUUUUCAUCAUUGUUUUGCUUAUUCAUGGAAACGUUAUUGUAAUAUGUGUGCGUUGUAGCUUAAGUCCCUCACUCUUUCUUGGUUUCUUUUGCACAGGAACAUCUCACAUGUAUUCUCGUGUCUCAGCACCUUCGUAGAUAUUAAUGAUGUACUGAGUGUACUUUACGUAGUAGUACUUAUUGUUGCCCCGGUGUUCAAUCACCCUGAUGAUUUUCAGCCAGGAAUGUCAACAUUCCAGUAUACACCAGCAGUAAUGUUUUUGUGAAACUUAAUCAGUUAUAUAUAUUGUGUUUCAUGUGUCUUGUUCCCCUAACCUAAUUUUUUCCAUAAGGUAUAAACUUCACACAUCAACAGUUUUGCUGUUUGUGGGGGUUUUCAAGAACAUAACCCCUGCAAAAAGCGAAGGUGAGCUGUAUUUCAAACUGGAAUAACACUCGGAGCAAAACAAAAAUAUACAAACAAAAUUGAGGAAUCUGGUAACAUUAUUAACAUUGUCAUUAACUGAAGGUAAAUAUGAAGUUCCUGCCCCUGCCAAAUUGAACCUUGGUCAUCCCACAUAUCUAGUCACUUCUGACUGUUCUGUCCUGAAUAUAGUCAUUAACUUGUGUGACUGACUACCAAGUAUCUCUUGUUGGUAUUCUGGGUAGCAACUUUGUAUGUUACUACCCAGAAGCUCAGCAUUGAUACGUUCAGUGCUGUAAGAAAAUCAAAUCCCACACCGAGUCUGUUUUCAGCGCACCUUUGUAAAACAAUUUGAUAAGCAUCUUGUACUUACAUGAAGUAAUAAACCAGUAUCCUCUUGAGCAAGAUAAAACAACAAGAAACUUUAUAGCCUUUUGUACUGCAUAAGAUGUCACAAUUAGCAAUAAAUUCUUAUAAUACUGAUG